rnacentral:rRNA from 1 species
UACGGAGGGAGCUAGCGUUGUUCGGAAUUACUGGGCGUAAAGCGCACGUAGGCGGCUUUGUAAGUUAGAGGUGAAAGCCCGGAGUUCAACUCCGGAACUGCCUUUGAAACUGCUUGGCUUGAGGCCGGGAGAGGGUAGCGGAAUUCCCAGUGUAGGCGGUGAAAUGCGUAGAUAUUGGGAGGAACAUCGGUGGCGAAGGCGGCUACCUGGACGGGUACUGACGCUGAUGCGCGAAAGCUAGGGGAGCAAACAGG